UCUUGGUCAUUUAGAGGAAGUAAAAGUCGUAACAAGGUUUCCGUAGGUGAACCUGCGGAAGGAUCAUUACUGAGUAUGCGGUCUCCGGACCCGCUACCCGCCCUUUGUCAUUUGCUGGACGAGGUCGCUCUCGGGCGGCCUCCGACCACACUUCCCGGGAAGCGUUACGCCCCAUCAGGCUAGUCCUGAGGGGUGGGACCGCCCGGGGUCUUUUCUCAAACCCUUGUGAGAAUCUGAAGUCUGAAAUCAAAAACAAAUGAAGCAAAACUUUCAACAACGGAUCUCUUGGCUCUGGCAACGAUGAAGAACGCAGCGAAACGCGAAAGGUAAUGCGAAUUGCAGAAUCAGUGAGUCAUCGAAUCUUUGAACGCACAUUGCGCCCUCUGGUAUUCCGGAGGGCACGCCUGUUCGAGCGCCAUUACACCCUCCAAGCUCUGCUUGAUGUUGGAUGCUGCGGGCGCCCCUCUGGGGGCCCUGCACGUCUAGAACGCGUGGGCGUCCGGCCUGUCGAGACCCGCGAGCGUAGCAAGACGGACAAAGUCAUUUCGCUCUGCCGGGGCUCCAGCGGACCGCCUCUCGUACUCCUCUAAGUUUUUAGAGGGGUCACCCACAAGAGUUUGGCCUCGGAUCAGGCGGGGAUACCCGCUGAACUUAAGCAUAUCAAUAAGC
rnacentral:rRNA from 1 species